UACGAACCGUGCAAACGUUGUUCGGAAUCACUGGGCUUAAAGGGCGCGUAGGCGGUCGAUCACGUCCGGGGUGAAAUCUUUCGGCUUAACCGGAAAAGGGCCUUGGAUACGGAUCGGCUGGAGGGAGGUAGGGGCAGGGUGGAACGUUCCAGUGGAGCGGUGAAAUGCGUUGAUAUUGGAAGGAACGCCGGUGGCGAAAGCGACCUGCGUGGACCUCUUCUGACGCUGAGGCGCGAAAGCCAGGGGAAGCGAACGGGG
rnacentral:rRNA from 1 species